rnacentral:rRNA from 1 species
AUUGAACGCUGGCGGCAUGCCUUACACAUGCAAGUCGAACGGCAGCACGGGUGCUUGCACCUGGUGGCGAGUGGCGAACGGGUGAGUAAUACAUCGGAACGUACCUUAUCGUGGGGGAUAACGCAGCGAAAGUUGCGCUAAUACCGCAUACGCCCUGAGGGGAAAGCGGGGGACCGUAAGGCCUCGCGCGAUUAGAGCGGCCGAUGUCUGAUUAGCUUGUUGGUGAGGUAAAAGCUCACCAAGGCGAUGAUCAGUAGCUGGUCUGAGAGGACGGUCAGCCACACUGGGACUGAGACACGGCCCAGACUCCUACGGGAGGCAGCAGUGGGGAAUUUUGGACAAUGGGGGCAACCCUGAUCCAGCAAUGCCGCGUGAGUGAAGAAGGCCUUCGGGUUGUAAAGCUCUUUUGUCAGGGAAGAAACAGCAGCUCUAACACAGUCUGCGAAUGACGGUACCUGAAGAAUAAGCACCGGCUAACUACGUGCCAGCCGCCGCCGUAA